UACGUAGGGUGCGAGCGUUGUCCGGAUUUAUUGGGCGUAAAGAGCUCGUAGGCGGUUUGUCGCGUCGUUCGUGAAAACUCCACGCUUAACGUGGAGCGUGCGGGCGAUACGGGCAGACUUGAGUUCGGUAGGGGAGACUGGAAUUCCUGGUGUAGCGGUGAAAUGCGUAGAUAUCGGGAGGAACACCUGUGGCGAAAGCGGCGCACUGGACCAUAACUGACGCUGAGGCGCGAAAGCUAGGGGAGCAAACAGG
rnacentral:rRNA from 1 species